GGGAAUGUGGCUUAGUGGUAGAGUGCGUGCCUAGCAUGCAGGAAGUCCUGGGUUCGAUUCCUCAGUACCA
rnacentral:tRNA from 1 species